rnacentral:rRNA from 1 species
UACAGAGGUCUCAAGCGUUGUUCGGAUUCAUUGGGCGUAAAGGGUGCGUAGGUGGCGCGCUAAGUCAGGUGUGAAAUUUCGGAGCUUAACUCCGAAACUGCAUUUGAUACUGGCGUGCCUGAGGACUGGAGAGGAGACUGGAAUUCAUGGUGUAGCAGUGAAAUGCGUAGAGAUCAUGAGGAAGACCAGUGGCGAAGGCGGGUCUCUGGACAGUUCCUGACACUGAGGCACGAAGGCCAGGGGAGCAAACGGG